CAAGCUAAAUAAAUAAAUAAAUGGACAUUUCGGUCAAUAAUCUAUAUGGUAAAUUAAUUUCUCAAUGUUUCAGUUAAUGUGCAAAAAUUCAAAAUAUUGCCAUUUAUUUCAAUACUUUUUUUCUUCUUUCACAUGAACAAUUUUUCUUACUUGUCCUUUAAUCUUGUGGAGGAUAAGAGAAAACUAAGAAGUAAAAGGAAAAUAGUACUGAAAAAGAAAAUGGAAAGGUACAGAAAGGUAGAAGUUGAGACAUGCGUCCAUUUAAUUAUCAAAUUGUAUAUUUAGUGAAUUACUUACCAAUUUAUUUAUUUAUUUUAAAAUUUAGAAUAUUUUACACCCUAUUUUAUUUCACAUGGAACACACUGUCUUAAUUAUAAAUAAUAAUAAUAAUAAUAAUAAUAAUGUAUAUUUUUUUGCAUGUGGCAGACGACUUAUCCGGGGUGACAUACAUUUCUCUCAUUUAUACAUCUGAGCAGUUCAGGGGUUAAGGGCCUUGCUCAAGGGCCCAACAGUGGUAGCUUGGCAGUGCUGGGGCUUGACCUCCUGACCUUCUGAUCAGUAUCCCAGAGUCUUUAACCACUGAGCCACCACUGCCCCUGUAUAUAAUAAUUAAUAAAAAAUAGUGUGGACCAGUUACUUAAUUUAUCCAUGAUCUUGGCUUAAAGAAAACAAAAAUGUUAAAGAAAAAAAAAAAAAGAACGAUUCAAAAAUGUUUAAACACCCCCCCCCCCCCCCCCCCCAAAAAAAAAACAAAAAAAAACGUAUUUUAAAGAUCAUUUUGUAAAGUCCAAAUAAGCUUUACAGAUCUUUUCUGGAAAGGGUUUAAACAGUUUGUUUCAUGCUUGUUCAAUGAACCAUAGACGAUUAUUGCACAUGCCCCUGUGGAACAGUCCUUAAGACACGAACAGUUUACAGGUGCUAGGCAAUUAAUGUCACAGUUAUUAAAAGUUAGGACACUAAAGAGACCUUUCUACUGACUCUGAAAAACACCAGAAGAAAGAUGUCUAGGGUUCCUGCUCACCCGCGUGAACAUGCCAUAGACCUGCUGCAGGGAGGCGUGAGGACUGCAGAUGUGUCCAGAGCAAUAAACUGCAAUGUCUGUAAUGUAAGACGCCUGAGACGGUGCUACAGGGAGACAGGAAGGACAGCUGAUCGUCCUUGCAGUGGAAAAUUACAUGUAUCCGUGUGUCCCCCGGAUGUGAUGGAGAACUUGCAAGAACAUCUCACAGCAAGAACGCACACAUCUGCUGCAGUCCAUGAGGACGAGAUGCACUGUAGUACUUAAAGCAGCUGAAGGCCCCCUGAUACUGACUUCUGACCCCGCUUUGUUCAGGGACUCAUUAUUACAUUUCUGUUCGUCAAAUGUCUGUGAAACACCUAUUUAUUUCCUCCGUUCUUAGCCAUGAACCCAGUGUAGACUUCUAACCCUGGCUUCCUCACUCGAUAUGGAAACAGUCUUUCAUCAAAGAAAUAAAUGCUGCUGUUUCCUG
ensembl:lncRNA